CCUCCUUUCUAAGGAUGAGUGAAAGUAAAAUUUCAUUCUAAAUAAUAUACAUCGGUAAUGUUGACCGUCCUCAUUUCUCUUCUUAUAGUAAUGUUUCCUUCUUGUAGGGCCGGUAGCUCAGUUGGUUAGAGCACACCCUUGAUAAGGGUGGGGUCGAAAGUUCGAGUCUUUCUCGGCCCACCAAAAACCUAAAUGGGGGAUUAGCUCAUCUGGGAGAGCGCCUGAUUUGCAUUCAGGAGGUAGCAGGUUCGAUCCCUGUAUCCUCCACCAGGAAACAUUUAGUUAUUAAAACUGUAAAUAAAAAUAAUUUAUAUCAAUAUCUAUAUCCGAACAUUAAAAGUUAUUAUUUAAUGUUCAAAAUAAAAAUUUGAUCACAACAUAGAUUAAUUUUCUGUAAUAAGAAUUUUUUUCUGUGCAUAAAUCAAGCGUUUAAGGGCGUGUAGUGGAUGCCUGGGCACUGAAAGCCGAUGAAGGACGUGAUAUACUG
rnacentral:tRNA from 1 species